rnacentral:rRNA from 1 species
GCAUAUCAAUAAGCGGAGGAAAAGAAAAUAACAAUGAUUUCCCUAGUAACGGCGAGUGAAGAGGAAAGAGCUCAAAGUUGGAAACUGUUUGGCUUAGCUAAACCGUAUUGUAAACUGUAGAAACAUUUUCCUGGCACACCAGAUUAAUAAGUCCUUUGGAACAAGGCAUCAUGGAGGGUGAGAAUCCCGUCUUUGAUCUGAGUAGUUGUCUUUUGUGAUAUGUUUUCAAAGAGUCAGGUUGUUUGGGAAUGCAGCCUAAAUUGGGUGGUAAAUCUCACCUAAAGCUAAAUAUUUGCGAGAGACCGAUAGCGAACAAGUACCGUGAGGGAAAGAUGAAAAGAACUUUGAAAAGAGAGUUAAACAGUAUGUGAAAUUGUUAAAAGGGAACCGUUUGGAGCCAGACUGGUUUGCCUGUAAUCAACCUAGAAUUCGUUUUGGGUGCACUUGCAGGCUAUACCUGCCAACAACAGUUUGAUUUGGAGGAAAAAAUUAGUAGGAAUGUAGCCUCUCGAGGUGUUAUAGCCUAUUAUCAUACUCUGGAUUGGACUGAGGAACGCAGCGAAUGCCUUUAGGCGAGAUUGCUGGGUGCUUUCGCUAAUGAAUGUUAGAAUUUCUGCUUCGGGUGGUGCUAAUGUUCAAAGGAGGAACACAUCUAGUAUAUUUUUUAUUCGCUUAGGUUGUUGGCUUAAUGACUCUAAAUGACCCGUCUUGAAACACGGACC